rnacentral:pre_miRNA from 1 species
CAUGCACCGGUGGGGUCCCUCGGCCUGGCCUGCGCCAUCUCACAAUCCAGGACCCCUCGGGGGGGUGUCAGAGAGCUGGUUUCAGCCCGAUCCCACAGGCCAGGCCGAGGGACCCCACUGGUGCACG